rnacentral:tRNA from 3 species
CCGGCGGGCGCAGCGCCCCGACGGCUGCCGGCCGGCCCUUGUUCGGCCGGACGGAACGGCUGCCGGGGCCGGAUCAGAUCCGGCCAGCCGGGC